GACGAACGCUGGCGGCAUGCCUAAUACAUGCAAGUCGAACGAACCAUCCUGAAGAUUGAAGCUUGCUUCAUGAUUCAGACCUUGGUGAGUGGCGGACGGGUGAGUAACACGUGGGUAACCUGCCCAAAAGUGGGGGAUAACAUCUGGAAACAGGUGCUAAUACCGCAUAACAACUACUUUCUCAUGAUCGUAGCUUGAAAGAUGGCUCUGCUAUCGCUUUUGGAUGGACCCGCGGCGUAUUAGCUAGCUGGUGAGGCAAUAGCUCACCAAGGCAAUGAUACGUAGCCGACCUGAGAGGGUAAUCGGCCACAUUGGGACUGAGACACGGCCCAAACUCCUACGGGAGGCAGCAGUAGGGAAUCUUCCACAAUGGGCGAAAGCCUGAUGGAGCAAUGCCGCGUGAGUGAAGAAGGUUUUCGGAUCGUAAAACUCUGUUGUUGAAGAAGAACAUGCGUGAGAGUAACUGUUCACGUACUGACGGUAUUCAACCAGAAAGCCACGGCUAACUACGUGCCAGCAGCCGCGGUAAUACGUAGGUGGCAAGCGUUGUCCGGAUUUAUUGGGCGUAAAGAGAAUGUAGGCGGUUUAUUAAGUUUGAAGUGAAAGCCCUCGGCUCAACCGAGGAAGUGCUUCGAAAACUGGUAAACUUGAGUGCAGAAGAGGAAAGUGGAACUCCAUGUGUAGCGGUGGAAUGCGUAGAUAUAUGGAAGAACACCAGUGGCGAAGGCGGCUUUCUGGUCUGUAACUGACGCUGAGAUUCGAAAGCAUGGGUAGCAAACAGGAUUAGAUACCCUGGUAGUCCAUGCCGUAAACGAUGAGUGCUAAGUGUUGGAGGGUUUCCGCCCUUCAGUGCUGCAGCUAACGCAUUAAGCACUCCGCCUGGGGAGUACGAUCGCAAGAUUGAAACUCAAAGGAAUUGACGGGGGCCCGCACAAGCGGUGGAGCAUGUGGUUUAAUUCGAAGCAACGCGAAGAACCUUACCAGGUCUUGACAUACCAUGAAAAGCUAAGAGAUUAGUCUUUCCCUUCGGGGACAUGGAUACAGGUGGUGCAUGGUUGUCGUCAGCUCGUGUCGUGAGAUGUUGGGUUAAGUCCCGCAACGAGCGCAACCCUUAUUAUCAGUUGCCAGCAUUCAGUUGGGCACUCUGGUGAGACUGCCGGUGACAAACCGGAGGAAGGUGGGGACGACGUCAAAUCAUCAUGCCCCUUAUGACCUGGGCUACACACGUGCUACAAUGGUCGGUACAACGUGCUGCGAACUCGCGAGGGUAAGCAAAUCACUUAAAACCGAUCUCAGUUCGGAUUGUAGGCUGCAACUCGCCUACAUGAAGCUGGAAUCGCUAGUAAUCGCGGAUCAGCCUGCCGCGGUGAAUACGUUCCCGGGCCUUGUACACACCGCCCGUCACACCAUGAGAGUUUGUAACACCCAAAGUCGGUGGGGUAACCCUUCGGGGAACUAGCCGCCUAAGGUGGGACAAAUGAUUAGGGUG
rnacentral:rRNA from 1 species